rnacentral:tRNA from 1 species
UCCCUGGUGGUGCAGUGGGUUAAGGACUUGGCAUUGGUGAAGCUGUGGCGCAGGGUUGAUUCCUGUCCUGGGAA